CUGGUCCAGGGUGACCUUGCGGUGACCACCGACUACCGUUCGGUGAUCGGUGAGGUGCUGCAGAAGCGGUGCGAUAUCGGCGGCUUGGACC
rnacentral:tRNA from 1 species